rnacentral:misc_RNA from 1 species
AGAUACCCCACUAUGCCUAGCCGUAAAACCAAUUUACACAUUAAACGCCAGGGGAUUACGAGCUGAAGCUUAAAACCCAAAGGACUUGACGGUGACCUACCCAGCUAGAGGAGCCUGUUCUAUAAUCGAUGAUCCACGUUUUACCCUACCACUUCUUGCCUCUUUUCAGCCUGUAUACCUCCGUCGUAAACUCACCGUAUGAACGCAUAACAGUGGGUUCAAUGGCCCCCCGCCAAUACGUCAGGUCAAGGUGCAGCUCAUGAAGUGGGAAGCAAUGGGCUACAAUUUCUAAAAUAGAACAUACGAAACGCUGCAUGAAACACAGUUAUGAAGGUGGAUUUAGUANUAAAGGGGGAAUAAAAAGCCCCCUUGAAUACGGCACUGGGACACGUACAAACCGCCCGUCACCCUCUUCGAUAGCAUAUUCCCCACCUGGUACUUAACCCGCCCUUAGCGCCUUAGAAGAAGCAAGUCNUAACAAGGUAAGUGUACCGGAAGGUGCACUUGGUAUAACAAAAUAUAGCUUAACUAAAGCCCUCGCUUACACCGAGCUGAUGUCUGUUGAAAACCAGAUUAUUUUGAGCUGAUAGUCCAGCCCGACUUAUUUAUUUUUCUUCCCCCCCCCCACAUAUAUUCAACGAUAAAACAUUUUAAACCUAUAGUAGAGGCGAUCGAAAAAGUUAUAGGAGCCCUAGACAGAGUACCGCAAGGGAAAGGUGAAAUAGUAAUGAAAUAAGCUGAAAGCACUAAAUAGCAGAGAUUAUUCNUCGUACCUUUUGCAUAAUGGUCUAGCCAGUCUAACCAAGCAAAAUGAGAUUUUAGUUUGACAUCCCGAAACUAAGCGAGCUACUUCAGAACAGCUUUAAGAGCUAACCCGUCUCUGUGGCAAAAGAGUGGGGUGAUUUUCAGGUAGCGGUGAUAGGCCUAACGAGCUUAGAGAUAGCUGGUUACUCAAAAAAAGAAUUUUAGUUCUGCCCUAAAUCUUUAUAUUAAUCCAAACAAACCUUUAGAUUUAGGAGUUAUUCAAGCGGGGUACAGCUUGCUUGAAACAGGGGACAACCUAGACAACCGGGUAAGAUUUUUUAUUCCUCACUAAGUGGGCCUAAAAGCAGCCACCUUUUAAAAAGCGUUAAAGCUUAGUCUCUACAGUUGAGCAAUCCCAUAAAUUUUUUCCAACCCUUCAUCAAUAUUGAGUGACUCCAUAAAAAUAUGGAAGACAUAAUGCUAGAACUAGUAACAUGAAUUAAAAUUCUCCAAAAUGCAAGCAUAAGCCUAAGUAAACCAAACCGGCAAUUAACGGAUCUGAGCUUUAGUAACAACUCAUCAAGAAAAACUUACAAAAUGACCCCGUUAACCUGACGCUAGAGCAUUUCUGGAAAGAUUAACAGAGGAAGAAGGAACUCGGCAAAUUUUGACCCCGCCUGUUUACCAAAAACAUCGCCUCUUGCUAAAAUAUAAGAGGUCCAGCCUGCCCGGUGACAAAGUUAAACGGCCGCGGUAUCCUAACCGUGCGAAGGUAGCAUAAUCACUUGUUCUUUAAUUGGGGACCUGUAUCAACGGCAUCACGAGGGUUAUACUGUCUCCUUCCUCUAAUCAGUGAAACUGAUCUCCCAGUGAAAAAGCUGGGAUUUACUUAUAAGACGAGAAGACCCCAUGGAGCUUCAAACUUACGGCAACUCUUAAAAUACAAGCCCUAAUAUACUAAGAGCUAUGUCUAACAGUUUUUGGUUGGGGUGACCGCGGAGCACAAAAUAACCUCCACAACGCACAGAAUUAAAUUUUUAUCUGAGAGCUACUGCUCUAGGAAUCAGAAAACUGACGUGAAAUGACCCGAUAUUCGAUCAACGGACCAAGUUACCCUGGGGAUAACAGCGCUAUCCUCUUUUAGAGUCCCUAUCGACAAGCGGGUUUACGACCUCGAUGUUGGAUCAGGGUAUCCUAGUGGUGCAGCCGCUACUAAGGGUUCGU